rnacentral:rRNA from 1 species
UUAUAUUCUGUAGCAAGGUUAACCGUAUAGGGGAGCCGGAGGGAAACCGAGUCUUAAUUGGGCGUUAAGUUGCAGGGUAUAGACCCGAAACCCGGUGAUCUAGCCAUGGGCAGGUUGAAGGUUGGGUAACACUAACUGGAGGACCGAACCGACUAAUGUUGAAAAAUUAGCGGAUGACCUGUGGCUGGGGGUGAAAGGCCAAUCAAACCGGGAGAUAGCUGGUUCUCCCCGAAAGCUAUUUAGGUAGCGCCUCGUGAAUUCAUCUCCGGGGGUAGAGCACUGUUUCGGCUAGGGGGCCAUCCCGGCUUACCAACCCGAUGCAAACUGCGAAUACCGGAGAAUGUUAUCACGGGAGACACACGGCGGGUGCUAACGUCCGUCGUGAAGAGGGAAACAACCCAGACCGCCAGCUAAGGUCCCAAAGUCAUGGUUAAGUGGGAAACGAUGUGGGAAGGCCCAGACAGCCAGGAUGUUGGCUUAGAAGCAGCCAUCAUUUAAAGAAAGCGUAAUAGCUCACUGGUCGAGUCGGCCUGCGCGGAAGAUGUAACGGGGCUAAACCAUGCACCGAAGCUGCGGCAGCGAACGUAUCACCCAAGACAACUUUACGGAGUUGACGAUUGACGGAGCGAAGCGACGUCAAAGCGUUCAUUAAAGUCGAGUUGGCUUAGGGAUACGUUCGUUGGGUAGGGGAGCGUUCUGUAAGCCUGUGAAGGUGGCCUGUGAGGGUUGCUGGAGGUAUCAGAAGUGCGAAUGCUGACAUAAGUAACGAUAAAGCGGGUGAAAAGCCCGCUCGCCGGAAGACCAAGGGUUCCUGUCCAACGUUAAUCGGGGCAGGGUGAGUCGACCCCUAAGGCGAGGCCGAAAGGCGUAGUCGAUGGGAAACGGGUUAAUAUUCCCGUACUUGGUGUUACUGCGAAGGGGGGACGGAGAAGGCUAUGUUGGCCGGGCGACGGUUGUCCCGGUUUAAGCGUGUAGGUGUGUGUUCCAGGUAAAUCCGGUUCACUUUAACACUGAGGCGUGAUGACGAGGCACUACGGUGCUGAAGCAACAAAUGCCCUGCUUCCAGGAAAAGCCUCUAAGCAUCAGGUAACAUCAAAUCGUACCCCAAACCGACACAGGUGGUCAGGUAGAGAAUACCAAGGCGCUUGAGAGAACUCGGGUGAAGGAACUAGGCAAAAUGGUGCCGUAACUUCGGGAGAAGGCACGCUGACACGUAGGUGAAGUGAUUUACUCACGGAGCUGAAGUCAGUCGAAGAUACCAGCUGGCUGCAACUGUUUAUUAAAAACACAGCACUGUGCAAACACGAAAGUGGACGUAUACGGUGUGACGCCUGCCCGGUGCCGGAAGGUUAAUUGAUGGGGUCAGCGCAAGCGAAGCUCCUGAUCGAAGCCCCGGUAAACGGCGGCCGUAACUAUAACGGUCCUAAGGUAGCGAAAUUCCUUGUCGGGUAAGUUCCGACCUGCACGAAUGGCGUAAUGAUGGCCAGGCUGUCUCCACCCGAGACUCAGUGAAAUUGAACUCGCUGUGAAGAUGCAGUGUACCCGCGGCAAGACGGAAAGACCCCGUGAACCUUUACUAUAGCUUGACACUGAACAUUGAGCCUUGAUGUGUAGGAUAGGUGGGAGGCUUUGAAGUGUGGACGCCAGUCUGCAUGGAGCCGACCUUGAAAUACCACCCUUUAAUGUUU